rnacentral:rRNA from 1 species
CAAAAACAUCGCCUCUUGAAUAACUAUAAGAGGUCCAGCCUGCCCAGUGACUUUGUUCAACGGCCGCGGUAUCCUAACCGUGCGAAGGUAGCGUAAUCACUUGUCUUUUAAAUGGGGACUUGUAUGAAUGGCAUCACGAGGGUUAUACUGUCUCCUUUUUCUAAUCAGUGAAACUAAUCUUCCCGUGAAGAAGCGGGAAUAAACAUAUAAGACGAGAAGACCCUAUGGAGCUUUAAACUCAAUAACAAAUACUAACCUUACAUUAACCUUCAGAAUAUUAACCUUAAUUUUAGUAUUAUGAUUAUUAGUUUUAGGUUGGGGUGACCGCGGAGUAAAAAUUAACCUCCACAUUGAACGGGACCUAUCCCUGAGCCAAGAACUACAGCUCAAAGCACCAACAAAUUGACAUUAAUUGACCCAAUAUUUUGAUCAACGAACCAAGUUACCCUAG